UUUUUUUAAAAGAUUGCGCGCAAUCGAAUAGUCUUAGUAAUAUCGGCGAUGUGUUUAAAGAUGCCUAAUUAAAUUCCGCGUUUCGUUUUAUUUGAAUUUGUCCCUAAAUUUUGCUGAAAUGCAAGCAAAAAUCAGUUUAAUUCUAACGUUCUUUAUCGGUAACUGUUUGUUUACGUUUUGUUUUGAAUUGUGCCGGUUUCAUACAUUAAUAACAUGGAUAGUGUAUUUCAGCAAAGAAAGUGAGAUAGCAAUAUUUCUUGUAUAAUUGCUAUAUGAGUUGUUAGAGCGGGAGGGGUAUAGAAGUUGUAUGUUCACUAUCCAUUUUGUGUAUAUGAUCCGGGCUAGUAAAAAAUCUAUUCAGGUCAUUUUGUUUAUUAGAGUGACAUGAAGAGAAUGGAACUUUCGUGAGUUAGAGUGAGACAACGAAAUUGCUUCACAAUCAAUGUAGUUUAUAUGAUCCUGCUGGAUUUUCGGCUCGACCUUGCUCGGUUCAAGUUUUCAGUGAGUGCCGGUCCGCGAGCGGUUCCUGCGCGUCGCCAUGUUUGUUGCGAUUUUAGUUUCGUAAAAUGUGUUGUGUUUCGCAGUGCCGUCGAUUGACUAUGAGUUAACUUGUUGUGCGGAAUAAUGGUCUCGACACACGUUCUUAGGGGUAUUAAUUCGCGGUAGAUUCGAUUGGAUUUAAGCAAUUUUGGGUCUUAUCGCGAAUAGUUGCGUGCUGACGCGGCGUGCUCGGCUUACGCGGUGCGCUUAGUUUUGCGCCGGCCAUUGCUCGAGUCGGAAAUGUUUCUCGCGGCUGCAAUCGUUUUCGUUUUGUGUUUGUAAUUCGGUAAAUCGCGUUGGGAAUCGCGUUUUAUUUUCUUAAAUUGUGCUUUGUGUUUCUUCACCGCCGAUAUUUAGAGAUAUUUAGUAAUUUUUCGUUUUCGUGUGUGAGUGAAUCCGUCGGCUCUUGCCGUAGUGGCAUUUUUGUUCCAGGAACGCCGGCCAUCAUGUUCUUGUUCCAAGGAAUUGGAAACCGAGAAAGAAUCUUCUUGGUGAAUUCUGCGCGAAAUAUGUGGCCGAGGAUCGUUUUCUAAUCGACGGAAUUGUGGAACAGUGAUUUGGCUGCGGGUUGUGACCGUCAUCAUGACUAUGUUCCAGUUAUCUUCAAGCACGCCGGAAAAAGUUUUUAUGUCGGAGGUCUCCCGCGUCUCGAGUAUGGUUUGCCGUUCGACAAAAUUGCAGCUCAUCGAACUUCCUACGACAUCUACGAAAGAGAAGUCUACCGGCGGGUGAAGACCUUGGUGAAGAGCAACUGCCCUACGACGGAUUUCUCGGACCGCUGAUGAUACAAAAAUACCUGCGCCCUUUUUUGCGUAUCUUGCAAUAACUUUUUGCGCCUAUUAUUUAAAAGCGAACAGGUGACAGACGCAUUAUUUUUCAAACCAGUUCAAUUAAUGCGCACAUGGGAGAACAAAAAAAACUUUUAAACCACGAACGCAUUCUCUAAGUUCACUUAUAAUUAGAAUUGUAUAUAUUUAGGGACCUUUAACCAUUAAUUUGAUGAAUCCUAGUGGAGUAACAUGCAGUGUAAACUCUUUAUAACGAUGGUCAAUUGUUGUGUAAUUAGUUUUUACUUCAAUUUGCUCAUUAGUUCAUUUAAAGACAUAUUGUAAAGUUAUCAAGAGUUUAUAUUGUAAUGCCAAUUUUGUCGCGUCACGACUUGAACUGAAAACUGGUAGUGCUGUCUCUGAAUCGCUAUUACUUGUAAUCAUGUACUUUGUUGUCUGCGCUUUAUUUGUUAGAUGUAAUACGGAUAUGGGUAUUGGGUAACUGUCGCACUGUUGUCUAGCUUUAGCUCGUGAGGGGGGCGCCUUAGAAUUUUCAAGGAAUUUAACUUGCGGGGUGAAAUUGCUACUUUUUCGGUAAAGCUCGCGAGAAGAAUGUUUGCUUCAAUUAUUAGCGGGCUCUAGAGAUAUCCAAUUAGAUUCGUGUUGUAUUAGUUUGUUGUAAAAGUAGUUGCAACAUGUUCAAAUUUGAAAAUCGGGUGGUUCAGUGGGAUUUUCACUUCAAGUAUGAAAUUGUUUUAGUAUUUUUGUUAUAGCUCGCGAAUGGGGCGGCUCAGAAUUUUCAGCGCGGUCUCUAGAGUCGAAUUAGAUUCUUCGCGUUGUUGUAUUAGUUUGUUGCUGAAGUUGCAUCUGCAACAUAUGUAAAUUUAAAAAUUAAGCGGUUCAGUUAGAUUUUUAGCCACAGGAUAAAAUUGUAGACGUUUUUUCUAUAUAGCUUGCGAGGGGGGCGGCUCAGAAUUUUUAGCGCGAUUUCUAGAGACAUAGAAUUAAAUUGUCCGCGUGGACAAUAGGGUGGUAAAUUCGAAAUUAGGGUGCUUUAAUGGGAUUUAAACCUGAUGGGGUUGAAAAUGUUGGGUUUUUCGGUGUAUCUCGCGAGAAGGGCGGUAAUUUCUGCGCGGUGAAAUUGUUGGGUUUUUUUCGGUAUAGCUCGUGAAGCUUAGAAUUCUCAGCGCGGUCUUUAGAGAAGUUUAAUUAGAUUCUCGGCGCGGUUGUCAUUGUUUGUUAUAAAAGCUUCGGCAGCAGUGUGCGCAGUGGUAGAUUAUGUUUAGCGUGUCCUCCUGUCUUCCGCAUUUCUUAUCUUUUGUGUAAUUUGUGUUGUCCAUGUAGAACUUGAGAUCUUGUUUUGUGUGUAUGACUUGUGUUGUCUUUCCUAUGUACUAAUGUGUAGCUUCCUUUGUUAAAAUCUAAAAAUUGUUAUAUGUAGAUGUUUUGUAUUAAUUUGUUCAUGUAAGUGUAUAGAAUAGCUACUUUGUACAGUAGUUGUUUGUGUUUUAAUGUUUGUUAGCACCUUGUGUUGUGUGUUUUAAUAUGUCUCUUGUUGUGUGUAAAUUAAUAAUUGUCUAUUGUGUAGUAUCUAGAAAGUGUUAGUUUGUAAAUAAAUUGUGUUGUCCGCGUCUUGUAAAUGUAAACAUGUUAUUUGUUAUCUAUGUUGAGUAGUUGUGUUGCGUCGUGGUUGCCUUGUGCUAGGUGUGCGACAUGUACUUGUGAUGUCUGCUGUGUAGCACUAGUUGUAACUUGUAACUUGUUGUUAUAUCAAUUGUGUUAUCGUUGCAGGUAUAGGAACCAGUAUUGCAACAGCAAUACUUGUAACAUGUAUUGCUAUAGCAAUACUAGUAACACUGUGUUGCAUAGGCAACACAGGUAGUAUGGUAUUGCUAUGGCAGUACAAGUAACAUGUUCUAUUGUUGCAAUACAGUAUGUAUAGGUAUCAAUAAAGAAGUCUUUUAAUA